rnacentral:tRNA from 1 species
AAGGCUUUAGCUUAAUUAAAGUACCUGUUUUGCAUACAGGAGAUGUGGGGUAGUGUUCCGCAAGUCUUA